rnacentral:tRNA from 1 species
GGCUGGUUAGCUCAGUUGCUUAGAGCAUGGUGCUAAUAACACCAAGGUCGCAGGUUCGAUCCCCGUUUGGUCCC